ACGCUCGACACCUACGGGGGGCAGCAGUGGGGAAUAUUGCACAAUGGGGGAAACCCUGAUGCAGCGACGCCGCGUGAGUGAAGAAGUAUUUCGGUAUGUAAAGCUCUAUCAGCAGGGAAGAAAAUGACGGUACCUGAGUAAGAAGCCCCGGCUAACUACGUGCCAGCAGCCGCGGUAAUCUGAGCGGGCUGGCAAGGC
rnacentral:rRNA from 1 species